GAUGAACGCUGGCGGCGUGCUUAACACAUGCAAGUCGAACGAAGCACUUUAUUUGAUUUCCUUCGGGACUGAUUAUUUUGUGACUGAGUGGCGGACGGCUGAGUAACGCGUGGGUAACCUGCCUUGUACAGGGGGAUAACAGUUGGAAACGGCUGCUAAUACCGCAUAAGCGCACGGCAUCGCAUGAUGCAGUGUGAAAAACUCCGGUGGUAUAAGAUGGACCCGCGUUGGAUUAGCUAGUUGGUGAGGUAACGGCCCACCAAGGCGACGAUCCAUAGCCGACCUGAGAGGGUGACCGGCCACAUUGGGACUGGGACACGGCCCAGACUCCUACGGGAGGCAGCAGUGGGGAAUAUUGCACAAUGGGCGAAAGCCUGAUGCAGCGACGCCGCGUGAGCGAAGAAGUAUUUCGGUAUGUAAAGCUCUAUCAGCAGGGAAGAUAAUGACGGUACCUGACUAAGAAGCACCGGCUAAAUACGUG
rnacentral:rRNA from 1 species